UGGGGAAUAUUGCACAAUGGGCGCAAGCCUGAUGCAGCCAUGCCGCGUGUAUGAAGAAGGCCUUCGGGUUGUAAAGUACUUUCAGCGGGGAGGAAGGGAGUAAAGUUAAUACCUUUGCUCAUUGACGUUACCCGCAGAAGAAGCACCGGCUAACUCCGUGCCAGCAGCCGCGGUAAUACGGAGGGUGCAAGCGUCAAUCGGAAUUACUGGGCGUAAAGCGCACGCAGGCGGUUUGUUAAGUCAGAUGUGAAAUCCCCGGGCUCAACCUGGGAACUGCAUCGGAUACUGGCAAGCUUGAGUCUCGUAGAGGGGGGUAGAAUUCCAGGUGUAGCGGUGAAAUGCGUAGAGAUCUGGAGGAAUACCGGUGGCGAAGGCGGCCCCCUGGACGAAGACUGACGCUCAGGUGCGAAAGCGUGGGGAGCAAACAGG
rnacentral:rRNA from 1 species